rnacentral:rRNA from 1 species
UAGAGCGAAGAGAUUCAAUCGACCUUGCAGUAAUGUAAGGAGGCCUGCACAGGUGCUGCAUGGCUGUCGUCCAGCUCGUGUCGUGAGAUGUUGGGUUAAGUCCCGCAACGAGCGCACCCCUAUUGCCAGUUGCUAACAGGAGAGCUGAGCACUCUGGCGAGACUGCCGCCGACAAGGCGGAGGAAGGUGGGGAUGACGUCAAGUCAUCAUGGCCUUUAUGCCCAGGGCUACACACGUGCUACAAUGGCCGGCACAGACGGCAGCUUAGUGGCGACACUUGGCAAAUCCUCUAAAGCCGGUCCCAGUUCGGAUUGUAGUCUGCAACUCGACUACAUGAAGCCGGAAUCGCUAGUAAUCGCAGAUCAGCCAAGCUGCGGUGAAUACGUUCCCGGGCCUU